GAUGAACGCUAGCUACAGGCUUAACACAUGCAAGUCGAGGGGUAACGAGAGGAAAGCUUGCUUUCCUUGUCGACGACCGGCGCACGGGUGAGUAACGAGUAUCCAACCUGCCCCCAACUAAGGAAUAACCUUGCGAAAGUAAGACUAAUACCUUAUAAUUUCCUUAGAUGUCAUCUGACGAGGAAUAAAGAUUUAUCGGUUGUGGAUGGGGAUGCGUCUGAUUAGCUUGUUGGCGGGGUAACGGCCCACCAAGGCAACGAUCAGUAGGGGUUCUGAGAGGAAGGUCCCCCACAUUGGAGCUGAGACACGGUCCAAACUCCUACGGGAGGCAGCAGUGAGGAAUAUUGGUCAAUGGGCGGAAGCCUGAACCAGCCAAGUAGCGUGCAGGAUGACGGCCCUAUGGGUUGUAAACUGCUUUUAUACAGGAAUAAAGUUAGCCACGUGUGGUUAUUUGUAGGUACUGUAUGAAUAAGGACCGGCUAAUUCCGUGCCAGCCGCCGCGGUAA
rnacentral:rRNA from 1 species